GAUGAACGCUGGCGGCGUGCCUAACACAUGCAAGUCGAGCGAACGGACGAGACGCUUGCUUUUUUGAUGUUAGCCGCGCACGUGUGUGUAACGCGUGUAUAACCCACCUAUAAUUCUGGUAUAACCUCGGGAAACCGGCUCUAACACCGGAUAAUAUUUUGAACCGCAUGGUUCAUAAGUGAAAGACGGUCUUGCUGUCACUUAUAGAUGGAUCCGCGCUGUAUUAGCUAGUUGGUAAGGUAACGGCUUACCAAGGCAACGAUGCAUAGCCGACCGGAGGGGGGGGUCGGCGACACUGGAGCUGAGACACGGUCCAGACUCCUACGAGAGGCAGCAGUAGGGAAUCUUACGCAGUGGGCGAAAGCCUGACGGAGCAACGCCGCGUGAGUGAUGAAGGUCUUCGGAUCGUAAAACUCUGUUAUGGGGGAAAAACAUAUGUGUAAGUAACUGUGCACAUCUUGACGGUACCUAGUCAGAAAGCCACGGCUAACUACGUG
rnacentral:rRNA from 1 species